UACGUAGGGGGCAAGCGUUGUUCGGAAUUACUGGGCGUAAAGGGCGCGUAGGCGGCACGGCAAGUCAGGAGUGAAAGGCCUGGGCUCAACCUGGGAAUUGCUUUUGAAACUGCCGAGCUAGAGUGCGGAAGGGGCAACUGGAAUUCCCAGUGUAGCGGUGAAAUGCGUAGAUAUUGGGAAGAACACCCGAGGCGAAGGCGGGUUGCUGGGCCGACACUGACGCUGAUGCGCGAAAGCCAGGGGAGCGAACGGG
rnacentral:rRNA from 1 species